UACGUAGGGGGCGAGCGUUGUCCGAAAUUACUGGGCGUAAAGCGCGUGUAGGCGGAUGAGCAAGUCUGCUGUGAAAGCUCCUGGCUUAACCGGGAGUGGUCGGUGGAAACUGCUCGUCUGGAGGACGGUAGAGGUAGGUAGAAUUCCCGGUGUAGUGGUGAAAUGCGUAGAGAUCGGGAGGAAUACCUGUGGCGAAGGCGGCCUACUGGGCCGGACCUGACGCUGAGACGCGAAGGCGUGGGGAGCGAACGGG
rnacentral:rRNA from 1 species